GCCCGGGUGGCUUAGCUGGUCAUAGCGCCGCACUCAUAGGGUAUCGAGCUUCGGUGCGGCAUCCCACUGCCACGUGGAUGCUCAGCAUGUCCGCGAGGCCCGCCGAGCCUCGAACCUGGGACAUGCGGAGAUCGAGGGUUCAAAACCCUCCCCGGGCA
rnacentral:tRNA from 5 species